rnacentral:lncRNA from 1 species
UGGAGGGAUUAUGCAACCUGGUGGGUGGGGGAAGACAGAGGAGUGAAAACGAUAUUGCGAGCAAAAAGGAGAGAGCAUUGAUUCAGAUUGAAAACUAUAUAAUAAGAGAGGAUCAUGGAGAUGAUAAUCACAUAGCUUGGUUUUCUUGUCCACAUGACAUGCUCCUUCCUUGCCGCUCCCAGCAAUCACCGCACACUCUCCCGAGUCACCACCCCUCACCACUUUGCAAACCCUUGUUUUUGUAUAUUCUCGCUUGCCCUCCUU